UCAGCAUAAAUCCUGGAGUCUAAAUAUAUUCCAUAACUAAUUACUGGCAUAAGUAUCUCUUGACUAUGACAAGCAUCUAAUAGAGCUUCUGAACUGAAUUAUUGAGUCAAUAGAUUUCAUGUACAUGUAAUGAAUGUAUUGUGGUCAUGUGAGCUCUCUAUAACUUGGUUUAACAUUUCUUUCUGACUGAAAUGGACUUCUGGAAAAUGUAACAGUUUUUGCGAUAUCUUAAUGCCGGGAAAAUUUUGAUGUGUAUCAGAUUCAAACUGUAAACAAAGAGAGGCUAGAGGAAUUGAAUAAGAAACUUGAGUUCAAUUAGAUUAAUGAAUAUAAAUGAGAAGUCCGUCCCACUCCUUCCCUUGCAGCCCACUCAUGCAUGUGACUAGCUGAAGAACGCUUCUGAAGUGAAAGCCCAGGAUAAAAUGACUAGAAGCUGAGUAACAAUGAGCAUUGUUGUGGGUGAAACGAUGCCCCCCACAAAUAUAUCCAUGUGAACCCCUAGAACGUGUCCCAGACUCUGUGACCAUAUAAUAUUGAAGAUCAUGUAUCAUAAACGCUGAAAACUUCUAGAACAGUGGAAAUUUGAAGCUAGCAUGUAGCAAAAGAAAGAAUUCUGGGUGUAAACAGUCUCAGACACAUGGAUAUGAAUCUUUGAGUUCAAAAAGGGUAGAGCAUGUCCAUGAAAAAUUGACAGGUGUAUUGACAGGCUGUGGGAGGCCAGGUUCACAUUGGUGAAGGCAUAGGAGAGGAGGUGAGAGACAGGUAGGGACAGACUGGGGACCCAUCAUCAUCCUCACUCAUCAUCCUGUCCUCCCAUGCCAAAUGUUCAAGAUGCCCUUUUAAAUUUCUCAUACACCACAACUUCUAGGGGGCCAACAAUUGAAUGAGUUUUAUAAAUAUUUGACUAAACAAUUCUUAACAUUUGGAGAUUCUAUGAUUUCUCUUCAUCUCAGAAUCUUUCAAAACAUCCUAUAAAACCAUUCUAUGACCAAUGAUGAAAAAUAAAGUAAAACUGAUG